GGGAAGUCCAGCUAUCAGGGAAGCUUCCCCAAUCAGGGAAGCAUGAAGUUUUAACCACUGGACCGUCAGAGAAGUCCCUCUUUUUACAUUUUUUAAUGUAGCUACCAGAAAAUUGAAAAUUAAGUGCAUGGCUCACAUUUUUGCCUUGCGUUACAUUUCUUUUGAACAGUGAGCGCUGUUCUGGAACCUCACCACUUAGUGUUGUCCCUGCUCAAGCAGCAUCAGCAUUUCCAGAAAGCUCGUGAGGAAUAGACUCUCAGAGCUCAGCCCAGACCUAAAGAAUCAGAAUCUUCAUUUUAGUCAGAUUCCUGGGGGAUUCAAGUGCGAGAAGCUGCCCUCAGAGGACUUCCUGUAGGUUCAGCUGAUCCGUCUGCUUCCAGGAAGGCAUGCUGGUGUGGCCACUGCACGGUGACAUACUGGACAGCAAGUAAGAGACUUGUAGAGUGUUGCUGCAGAUUCUGUUUUUUUUUUCUUCCUUCCCUGCCUCCCAGCAUGGACCCUUGGGUUGAGGUGAACUUCCACAGGGAGUCUAUGGCCUGAUAAUAUUUUCCAAGGUGGGCUGGGAGCUGGGGUGGGGAAAAGCAGGUGUGUCACCAUAGAAGAGGGAAGCCUCAGACAAGAAGACAAAGUCCUUGUUUGGUCUCAAGUUAAUGGUUAACCUACUAUGGAGAAAGAAGCAGUUGAGACGGUGGACUUUAGUUUCUGGCUGUUUCUCUACAAACUUCUGUGGCCUUGGUUUAAUUAUCCCCCUGUCUUGCAGAACAGCAAAUGCUGGGAUAGACCGGACCCUUUGACACCCAAGUCUUGUGAACUAGGGGACAGAGCCAAGAAGAGUGAGGAGAUUUUUCAAUAUUCAGAGAAAAGAAUGAGGAGACCUGAGGGAGAACUAAACAUGUAUCUUCUGCUGUGCAUGGAAAUGAUGAUUUUCAUAAAGAAAAUAAAUGUACAUGCAAUAAAGCCCAGAGAUAUAAAUGCAGAAAUGAAUAACAAGCUCAAGUUGAAUUUACAAGCUGCUACUGCUGC
rnacentral:lncRNA from 1 species